rnacentral:tRNA from 1 species
GGGAAAGAGCGGUCAAAGCUUGGAAAAGUAAAAAGAAAAUCAUAGAACUGAUCCAAAAUAAAACUUAACUAAAUACUCUUCUUGAUGAUUGGACUGCAACUGAGCAUUCCGAUGCAAUCGGAAGGGUCGGGGGUUCGAAUCCCUCAACUCCCA